GAGUGUAACACAUUUCAGGGGACGAGUGUUGGGGAAUAUAGGAGUAGGAGGAGGGUAUUCGUCCGCGGUGUGUUCGCUUGGGGAUUGAACUGAAUGUGUUUUUUGGGGGCUUGGUUUGUUUGCGUCUGUGCAAAUAAUUCGAGGAAGCAUGUGGUCGGACAUGUAUGCUAGAUCUGUGGCCACGGCGUGGGCACCACGGCGGACGGCGACCUCUGCACCUUCUGUGGCUUCCCCAUGUGCCGCCCCUGCUACGAGUACAAUCGCAAGGAUGACACCCAGGCGUGCCCGCAGUGCAAGGCCAACAAGCGCCACCAAGGUAUGCCAGCCGCCGCCAUUUCCAUCUAUUUCCAUGUACUUCAUGUUAAUUAAAGUGCAUCAUGCUAGGCUUCAACAGCAACUGAAAGUCAGCCAGGUGGUUGUGUUUUGGUCGUUUGGAGCAUGUAGUAAUUUAGUGUUUGACAAAUUUAUUCAGAUUCUCACCAUAAUCUUGCUCUCUUAGUGAAUUGUACUCCAAUUGCAGUGUUGAGUUACAUUGCCCGCAAGAGCCGCAAGAGUGAAAUUUGUUGGCUUCAACGAUUCACAAAGGACAAUAAUCAAAGAUGUUGUUCGCAAUGCUUAUGUUACUGUUGUCAGUUAUUAGCUUUUUAAAACAUGCAUCUGUCAAUGUGUCCUAUUUCAAUAGGGUCUUAUUAUAGGACGUGAUGCCACUGAAUUAGGAUGUUUGUUCUUUUGCUACCUUUGUUAAAAACAUCAGAUCAUUCGUAUUGUAUCCUUCCUCGGAUUGCUUCUUUUGUUCUACUACAAAUAUUCUCAACAUGGCAGGGAGAGGUAUGCUCCUAAAUUUCUUAUUUUGUGCAUUGUGAAAUGAUUGUUCUAACAACAUCAGUUUUGUGUUCUUCAUAUAAUCUAUCUCAGAUUGCUCUGUGUUUUGCAGGUCUCGAGGUCAAGCCUAGACCCACUGUCAAGUGUGUGCUUGGACAUGACUUUAUCCUGCACUUUCCAGUGCUGCACUUAGGGAAUCAAAGAAAAGUGAAAGUGUCAUGUCAAAGUUGAUGACCAGAAGCUUGCUAUUGGAACCCUCUCUAUUGAAAAAUACCCCUAGAUAGAAAUUGAUUUGGUUUUCAA